rnacentral:tRNA from 1 species
GCGCCCGUAGCUCAAUUGGAUAGAGCGGCAGACUACGAAUCUGCGUGUUGAAGGUUCGAGUCCUUUCGGGCGUGCCA